GUGCUCGCGUCGGCAGCACAUAUACUAACAUGGGGCGGAUACAGAGAAGGUUACCGUGGCUCCUACGCAAGGAUGACACGCAGAUUCAUGAAGCCUUCCAUAUUAAA
rfam:Tupaia chinensis contig84142, whole genome shotgun sequence.